UUUAUCGCCUGUUUACCAAAACUCUACGUGAUCUGAGUUCAGACCGGAUGACCUGUUUACCUAAACAGUUNCUUGAUGAGAACUCGUCCGGAGUNGCNUGNAUGAUUAUACUGUCUCCCCCCCUUANUACUGAAACUGAUCCCCCCGUGAAGAAGCGGGGAUAAACCUAUUAGACGAGAAGACCCUAUGGAGCUUUAAACUAACACCACCUGUCUAUAAACACUUCAUAACAAACAGACAAACCUACGUGCUAGUUUUUGGUUGGGGUGACCGCGGAGCAAAAUAAAACCUCCACGAUGAAAAGACUUUCCCUCUUAAUCCAAGAGCAACAUCUCAAAGAAUUGGCAAACCAACACAACUGAUCCAAAUAACUUUGAUCAACGAACCAAGUUACCCUAGGGAUAACAGCGCAAUCCAUUUCAAGAGCUCCUAUCGACAAAUGGGUUUACGACCUCGAUGUUGGAUCAGGGUACCCCAGUGGUGCAGCCGCUACUAAAGGUUCGUUUGUUCAACGAUUAAAACCCUACNUGAUCUGAGUUCAGACAGGAGU
rnacentral:rRNA from 1 species